AUCUUCCUUAUCCUCACAGAAGCUUCACAGAAGCUUCACAGAAGCUUCUGUAAUGCUUCUGUGAAGCUUCUGUAAAGCUUCUGUGAAGCUUCUGAGA